rnacentral:rRNA from 1 species
GACGAACGCUGGCGGCGUGCUUAACACAUGCAAGUCGAGCGGUAAGGCCUUUCGGGGUACACGAGCGGCGAACGGGUGAGUAACACGUUGGUGAUCUGCCCUGCACUUCGGGAUAAGCCUGGGUAACUGGGUCUAAUACCGGACAUGACCUCCUAUCGCAUGGUGGGUGUUUGAAAGAUUUAUCGGUGCCGGAUGGGCCCGCGGCCUAUCAGCUUGUUGUUGGGGUAAUGGCCUACCAAGGCGACGACGGGUAGCCGACCUGAGAGGGUGACCGGCCACACUGGGACUGAGACACGGCCCAGACUCCUACGGGAGGCAGCAGUGGGGAAUAUUGCACAAUGGGCGAAAGCCUGAUGCAGCGACGCCGCGUGAGGGAUGACGGCCUUCGGGUUGUAAACCUCUUUCAGCAGGGACGAAGCGCAAGUGACGGUACCUGCAGAAGAAGCACCGGCUAACUACGUG